rnacentral:rRNA from 1 species
UACGUAGGGUGCGAGCGUUAAUCGGAAUUACUGGGCGUAAAGCGUGCGCAGGCGGUUUUGUAAGUCUGACGUGAAAUCCCCCGGGCUCAACCUGGGAAUUGCGUUGGAGACUGCAAGGCUAGAAUCUGGCAGAGGGGGGUAGAAUUCCACGUGUAGCAGUGAAAUGCGUAGAGAUGUGGAGGAACACCGAUGGCGAAGGCAGCCCCCUGGGUCAAGAUUGACGCUCAUGCACGAAAGGCGUGGGGAGCAAACAGG